AUUGAACGCUGGCGGCAUGCCUUACACAUGCAAGUCGAACGGUAACAGGUCUUCGGGUGCUGACGAGUGGCGAACGGGUGAGUAAUACAUCGGAACGUACCUAGUAGUGGGGGAUAACUACUCGAAAGAGUGGCUAAUACCGCAUGAGAUCUACGGAUGAAAGCAGGGGACCGCAAGACCUUGUGCUACUAGAGCGGCCGAGGGCAGAUUAGGUAGUUGGUGGGAUAAAAGCUUACCAAGCCGACGAUCUGUAGCUGGUCUGAGAGGACGAUCAGCCACACUGGGACUGAGACACGGCCCAGACUCCUACGGGAGGAAGCAGUGGGGAAUUUUGGACAAUGGGCGCAAGCCUGAUCCAGCAAUGCCGCGUGCAGGAUGAAGGCCUUCGGGUUGUAAACUGCUUUUGUACGGAACGAAAAGCCCUGGGUUAAUACCCUGGGGUCAUGACGGUACCGUAAGAAUAAGCACCGGCUAACUACGUGCCAGCCGCCGCUGUAAUAC
rnacentral:rRNA from 1 species